GCCUUCGUGGUGCAGUGGUCAGCACGCUCGACGCGUAUUCGAGAGGUACCCGGUUCGAGUCCCGGCGAGGGCA
rnacentral:tRNA from 1 species